CACGUAGUUAGCCGGUGCUUAUUCUUCCGGUACCGUCAUCCCCCCGGGGUAUUAGCCCAGAGGAUUUCUUCCCGAACAAAAGCGGUUUACAACCCGAAGGCCUUCUUCCCGCACGCGGCAUGGCUGGAUCAGGGUUGCCCCCAUUGUCCAAAAUUCCCCACUGCUGCCUCCCGUAGGAGUCUGGCCGUGUCUCAGUCCCAGUGUGGCUGGUCGUCCUCUCAGACCAGCUACGGAUCGUCGCCUUGGUAACGCCUUUACCCCACAACUAGCUAAUCCGACAUCGGCCGCUCCAAUAGCGCGAGGCCUUUCGGUCCCCCCGUCUUUCCACCCUCAGGUCUAUGCGGUAUUAAUCCGGCUUUCGGCCGGCUACUCCCCCACUACUGGGCCUACGUUCCGAUGCUAUACUCACCGUUCGCCACUCGCC
rnacentral:rRNA from 1 species